rnacentral:rRNA from 1 species
AUUGAACGCUGGCGGCAGGCCUAACACAUGCAAGUCGAACGGUAACAGGAAGAAGCUUGCUUCUUUGCUGACGAGUGGCGGACGGGUGAGUAAUGUCUGGGAAACUGCCUGAUGGAGGGGGAUAACUACUGGAAACGGUAGCUAAUACCGCAUAACGUCGCAAGACCAAAGAGGGGGACCUUCGGGCCUCUUGCCAUCGGAUGUGCCCAGAUGGGAUUAGCUUGUUGGUGGGGUAACGGCUCACCAAGGCGACGAUCCCUAGCUGGUCUGAGAGGAUGACCAGCCACACUAGAACUGAGACACGGUCCAGACUCCUACGGGAGGCAGCAGUGGGGAAUAUUGCACAAUGGGCGCAAGCCUGAUGCAGCCAUGCCGCGUGUAUGAAGAAGGCCUUCGGGUUGUAAAGUACUUUCAGCGGGGAGGAAGGGAGUAAAGUUAAUACCUUUGCUCAUUGACGUUACCCGCAGAAGAAGCACCGGCUAACUCCGUG